CUUUUUUAACCCGUGACCGGAAAUGACGAGUCCGUAAAUGUUUCAUUAAACUCUCCAAAGGUGAUCGGUUACAUUUCCUAACGUGGUGGAACCAUAGACAUAUAUGUCUAUGGGUAGAACAAUUUUUCAGGUCCAUGUCUGUGCCGAUGUCCGUGUCACGCGACGUCAUUAGAGGUGAAGUGACAGCCCGCUGCGAGGUUCUGGCAGUGUCGGAAUUAACAUAUCCCAUCCCGACAUCGGCACAUUGUAGUGAAACCACGGCGAUUAAACGAGGCAACGGCAGAGGCAGAGGAGUGGAGAGAGAGCGUGCGGCCGAGGUCCGGCCGCACCCAGGCUGAGGUGUGGGCAGAAGCAGGCUCGUCUCCCCCCUUAUGCCGAGUCGCUCGGAGAACAAAAAGAUCAGGAGCGUGAUGAGUGUCUCUGGCUGCUCCGCAGGGAGAGAUGGGGAGCUUGAGUGAAGCCUUUGGCCGUUGGAGAGUUGAGGGAAGAGGUAAGCCCCCCCCACCCCCCACCCCCCCAAAUCCAUGCCAAGAAAAGCACUCGCGGAGAAGAAAAGAGGGACAGAUGGCUGUUCCGUUUAAAAAACAGUGCUCAGCGGGCUUCGAAAGACUCUGAAGCUACUCUGCAGUUUGUGAGGAGUCAUGGGAGACAGAUGCCAUUGCAUAUGGUUUUCUUUAAAUGAUCGGCUUCGCUGGAGAGAUGGAUGCUUCAAAAGUUUUUUUCCUUUUUUUCAGCCACCUUGUCUGCGAUCCAGGACCCUAGGGUCAGGUGUCUUUGAUUUUUUCAAAAGCGGAUAGUCAAGUACAAAUAGUGCUUCAGAGGAUAGUGGUAUCAGAAACAGGCAAGCCAUUAAUAAAGCAAUUAGCGGAGGGGAAGUGGGCGUACUUAUCCCCAGCGGAACCCACUCAUUAGAGCCCAGUUUUGUGGCAAACUGUGCCAACCAACCUUUUCAGUCUUUGCUUACCAAGACUGCAUUCCCCUGCUACUUGCAAUUAAGAGUUUUCCCUUUCACUCCUGAAAAUGGACAUUUUGUCAGAUCAUAUGCUUGAUUCCUGUUAACUGGAAUUGCUUACAAAAUGUGAGAGUUGUGUAAUGUAAUUUUUGGGGAAUUCGGGGCAAAAAAACCUGGUAAAAGUUUUGCCAUCCAACAAGAGUGAAUUCGCCGAGAAUUAAAAAUGCAAGGAAGCGCUUUUGGCUGGUUGUUAUAUGGUGCUAUAAUUGCAACGAUAUGCGCUUUGCAUAUAACACUGCUGCCACUUAAUGGGCAGCAAACCUUUCUCGGUGCGGUUUGUUAUUAAUAGUUCCUUUGUGUUUUGAUGUUUGCAAGGGAGAAAAAUAAAGAAAACACAAAACAAGAAAAAAAAUAGAAGCGGUAGAGAAAAAACAAUACCAUUUGCACAUAAGCACCGAGAUCUGGGUGGGUGUGCUGAUGGAGGCAAAAUACCUUCCUCUCCCUGGCAGAGGUGCCAAGACCUGGGGCAGAGGGGGGAGUGGAGUUUGGUGGAGCUCAACAGUACCACGGAAAGGCCCAGAGCAAACAAUCUGUCGUCACAACAAGACUGUACCUUCAUUAUCGACUCUCUCCCCCCACACCUUCUCUUCAUCAGCAGGGCUGGCUGGCAGCUGAGGCGCCAAAGCAGAGUAGUCACAGCCGCACAGCACUCUGGGAGUGGGCACUCCUCCUGCUCCCCCUGCUGUCCCAGGUGCUGCUGAUCACGCUCCCUCUCUGUCUUUCUCUCUCACACACACACACACACUCAGACAUACACACCCACACUCUGAUA